rnacentral:rRNA from 1 species
AUUGAACGCUGGCGGCAGGCUUAAUACAUGCAAGUCGAGCGGAGUGAUGGUGCUUGCACUAUCACUUAGCGGCGGACGGGUGAGUAAUGCUAGGAAUCUGCCAUUUAGUGGGGGACAACAUUCCGAAAGGAAUGCUAGUACCGCAUACGUCCUACGGGAGAAAGCAGGGGAUCUUCGGACCUUGCGCUAAAUGAUGAGCCUAAGUCGGAUUAGCUAGUUGGUGGGGUAAAGGCCUACCAAGGCGACGACCUGUAGCGGGUCUGAGAGGAUGAUCCGCCACACUGGGACUGAGACACGGCCCAGACUCCUACGGGAGGCAGCAGUGGGGAAUAUUGGACAAUGGGCGGAAGCCUGAUCCAGCCAUGCCGCGUGUGUGAAGAAGGCCUUUUGGUUGUAAAGCACUUUAAGCGAGGAGGAGGCUCUCCUAGUUAAUACCUAGGAAGAGUGGACGUUACUCGCAGAAUAAGCACCGGCUAACUCUGUGCCAGCCGCCGCCGUAA